CCGAAAUCUUAGAGGCCUUGAUGUGUUCACAAGAUUGGAUAAGAAACAAAUAUAAAGGUGUGUCUUUCUUUACAUACAUCAUAAAGUUUAUCAUUAUCUUGCUGUAAUGUUUCAUAAGAUGUUCAUUACUACUUAUUUGAUUCUCAUAGAUGCUGACAAUGAAUAAGGACAAAGCUUUUGGAGUUGUCUUCAAGACAUUCAAGAGGGAAUGCAGGUGAAGUACAGGACUUGGCACUUUGAUUUGGCAUUGGAAGAUUUGAAGAUGGUCGUUUGGAGGCUUGGAGAUGUGAAAGAUGCCAUGAUGAUUCCAACUUUAAAGUGAUUUGUGAACUAUAAGUUCUAUUUCAGAACUUAUAUAGCUGUUGAACCAUCUACUAUUGUUUUUUGUUGAAAUUUACUCAAGUUAUGCUGCUGAAAUGUGCUUGUUUUGCUGCUGAAA